rnacentral:rRNA from 1 species
AACGAACGCUGGCGGCAUGCCUAACACAUGCAAGUCGAACGAGACCUUCGGGUCUAGUGGCGCACGGGUGCGUAACGCGUGGGAACCUGCCCUUAGGUUCGGAAUAACUCCCCGAAAGGGGUGCUAAUACCGGAUAAUGUCUUCGGACCAAAGAUUUAUCGCCUUUGGAUGGGCCCGCGUUGGAUUAGCUAGUUGGUAGGGUAAAAGCCUACCAAGGCGACGAUCCAUAGCUGGUCUGAGAGGAUGAUCAGCCACACUGGGACUGAGACACGGCCCACACUCCUACGGGAGGCAGCAGUGGGGAAUAUUGGACAAUGGGCGAAAGCCUGAUCCAGCAAUGCCGCGUGAGUGAUGAAGGCCUUAGGGUUGUAAAGCUCUUUUACCCGGGAUGAUAAUGACAGUACCGGGAGAAUAAGCUCCGGCUAACUCCGUG